UGCAGAAUCCCGUGAACCAUCGAGUCUUUGACGCAAGUUGCGCCCGACGCCUUCGGGCUGAGGGCACGCCUGCCUGGGCGUCACGCAUCGCGUCGCCCCCUACACCAAUUUGGUGAGGGGGCGGAUAAUGGCAUCCCGUUAGCUCGGUUUGCCCAAAAAGGAUCCCUCAUCGAUGGAUGUCACAACCAGUGGUGGUUGAAAGAUCAUUGGUGCCGUUGUGCUUCACUCCGUCGCAUGCUUGGGCAUCGUUACAAAACAAUGGUGCUAACGCGCCUUCGACCGCGACCCCAGGUCAGACGGGACUACCCGCUGAGUUUAAGCAUAUCAAUAAGCGGUGGAGAAGAAACUUACAAGGAUUCCCCUAGUAACGGCGAGCGAACCGGGAAUAGCCCAACUUGAGAAUCGGGCGGCCACGCCGUCCGA
rnacentral:rRNA from 1 species